rnacentral:lncRNA from 1 species
UAAGCACAUGCAUACGUGGCCUCUUCCAUCUGUGUCAUAAGCUUUUUUCAACAGAUUUCUUCAGCACUAAAUGAAGUGAGUGUCUUGCGGGUUCUCCAAAACAGCAAUUUUUCUAGCAGAUCUUCCUUCAUUUAAAAUGGAAGACUUCUUGUAUACAUCAGCUCCAGGGUCAGAUAGUUGGAAAUAUGUGCAAGAUAUCAAGUUGUCUUUAGAAGAGCUGCACGAGGACUGGGACUUGGUCUACCACAAUAAAGCCUGCUAACAGAUCACUUAACCUAUUGGAUUUUUUAUUUGAGGAAAACUAAAUCAUCAGAAAACCCACAGAAAUACCUACAGCAGGAAAGGAUACAACUUUUUUGUUCUUCAAGGUUUGAAAACUUGGAGUUCCCAAGUUUCAAUCUACUCUGAUGUGCACUUCUUCUGCUCAAUAAAGCAUGGAGACUCAGAGUUCUUUCAGAGGUCUUCUCACUACCAACAAAGAUCAAUGGCAUAGAAGAAUACAGGGCCUUGCAGUGCAUCCAGUUCUUGGUUGUCCUGUUUUUUUGCAAGGUGAUUAUGGACUACUCUCUUGUCUCUCCAAGACUUAGUUUCUCCCUACAUCAUCUGCAUUUUGGAAUGAUCACCUCCCUUUUUAUUUUAUGAUUUAUGAAUAUUCUACAUUCUAAUUUGGAUUUUGAUUAUAAUUUCCCCUUGAUUGCUUUUAACUUAUUGUGUCAUUGAAGUAUAACUAUUGGUAAAAUAGAAUGCAUUUUUAUUUUAUGCUCUUAAGGAAUGGGUUCACCAGUGAUACCUGAAUGCCUUGGCGGAGUAUCAGUGGGUUUUCUGUAAAAUUAGACCCAAGAGUAAUUUUAGGAUACUAUUGUUAUUAGUUAUUUAUUAUUGCUCUUGCUUAUUAAAAUA